AAACAAUACAAUCAUUGGACAUCCAGCUACAAUGGCCAUUCAACUGAAAGGUAAACAAUUUCAAGGCCGAUAUUUGCUGAUUUUAACAAUUCCACAGGUAACACACACAUAAAUGGAUCCUGAGAGACUAGAAACCAUGUUAGAUUUUAUAAUAUUUGUACCUAGGAUAUUUAUAGCUAGGUACGAGUGCGUCAUUGUGUGAUGCAUCAACGAGGAAUGCAGCCUUAAUGGACCAGUAGACUAUCUGGGUAUAAAGUCAGUUAUGCGCGGUAAUAGAUUGGCAUUCAGAGAUGUUAAAAGACCAGUAUUACUUAAUCUUUAUUUUAUUUAUCGCCUAUUUGAACUUUCCGUCCUAUUUUCUGUACUCCGUAAUCCUAGCUAUAAGUAUGCGAAAGCUUUAAAGUAUUAUAUGUGUGCAUACAGCUUCAUGAGGAAACAUACAAAUAACCUUAAUUUAUUAUUAGUUAGAACUUAUAAGGUUUGUGUGUAUGUAACCAGUAUAAGUUCUUCCUUAUAUAAAUAUGUUUUCUCUCGGAGCAGUAUAUAUUUUUAUUUUUUCAACAAUUUAAACGAUACAUGUUGACACGUCAAUGUUGUGAUCUAACGAUCACUAAUGAUGAUGAUGAUUCAGUAUCGUAACAGCUUAACUGGGAUAAA